rnacentral:rRNA from 1 species
AGCGAACGCUGGCGGCAGGCCUAACACAUGCAAGUCGAACGAACUCUUCGGAGUUAGUGGCGGACGGGUGGGUAACACGUGGGAACGUGCCUUUUGGUUCGGAAUAACUCGGGGAAACUUGUGCUAAUACCGAAUGUGCCCUUCGGGGGAAAGAUUUAUCGCCAUUAGAGCGGCCCGCGUCUGAUUAGCUAGUUGGUGAGGUAACGGCUCACCAAGGCGACGAUCAGUAGCUGGUCUGAGAGGAUGACCAGCCACACUGGGACUGAGACACGGCCCAGACUCCUACGGGAGGCAGCAGUGGGGAAUCUUGCGCAAUGGGCGAAAGCCUGACGCAGCCAUGCCGCGUGAAUGAUGAAGGUCUUAGGAUUGUAAAAUUCUUUCACCGGGGACGAUAAUGACGGUACCCGGAGAAGAAGCCCCGGCUAACUUCGUG